rnacentral:rRNA from 1 species
UUUUAUGGAGAGUUUGAUCCUGGCUCAGGAUGAACGCUGGCGGCGUGCCUAAUACAUGCAAGUCGAGCGAACGGACGAGAAGCUUGCUUCUCUGAUGUUAGCGGCGGACGGGUGAGUAACACGUGGAUAACCUACCUAUAAGACUGGGAUAACUUCGGGAAACCGGAGCUAAUACCGGAUAAUAUUUUGAACCGCAUGGUUCAAAAGUAAAAGACGGUCUUGCUGUCACUUAUAGAUGGAUCCGCGCUGCAUUAGCUAGUUGGUAAGGUAACGGCUUACCAAGGCAACGAUGCAUAGCCGACCUGAGAGGGUGAUCGGCCACACUGGAACUGAGACACGGUCCAGACUCCUACGGGAGGCAGCAGUAGGGAAUCUUCCGCAAUGGGCGAAAGCCUGACGGAGCAACGCCGCGUGAGUGAUGAAGGUCUUCGGAUCGUAAAACUCUGUUAUUAGGGAAGAACAUAUGUGUAAGUAACUGUGCACAUCUUGACGGUACCUAAUCAGAAAGCCACGGCUAACUACGUGCCAGCAGCCGCGGUAAUACGUAGGUGGCAAGCGUUAUCCGGAAUUAUUGGGCGUAAAGCGCGCGUAGGCGGUUUUUUAAG